UGAAUACGAGAUGCUACGGCGUCGAAGCAGUAUAUGUCAGACUUCCAAGAAAAGCUCGCAAUGUCAUAAAUAAAGAAUGCCUGUACCAUAACCGACACAGGUGGGUAGGUAGAGUAUACUAAGGGGCGCGAGAUAACUCUCUCUAAGGAACUCGGCAAAAUAACUCCGUAACUUCGGGAGAAGGAGUGCCUUCUUUAAGAAGGUUGCAAUAACAAGAUCCAAGCAACUGUUUAUCAAAAACACAGGUCUCCGCUAAGUCGUAAGACGAUGUAUGGGGGCUGACGCCUGCCCAGUGCCAGAAGGUUAAAGAAGUUGGUUAGCUUUUGCGAAGCUGAUGACUGAAGCCCUGGUGAACGGCGGCCGUAACAAUAACGGUCCUAAGGUAGCGAAAUUCCUUGUCGGGUAAGUUCCGACCCGCACGAAAGGCGUAAUGAUUUGGAUACUGUCUCGGAGAGGGACUCGGUGAAAUAGACUUGUCUGUGAAGAUGCGGACUACCUGCACCAGGACAGAAAGACCCUAUGAAGCUUUACUGUAACUUGAAAUUGAAAUUGGACUUUAUUUGCGCAGUAUAGGUGGAAGGCGUUGAAAGUAAUCUUGCGGGAUUAGUGGAGCCAUCAGUGAGAUACCACUCCUAUAAUGUUAGAUUUCUAACUUUGGAUCAUGAUCUGGUCAAAGAACAGUUUCAGGCGGGCAGUUUGACCGGGGCGGUCGCCUCCCAAAUGGUAACGGAGGCGUACAAAGGUUUCCUCUGAACGGGUAGAAAUCGUAUCUAGAGUGUAAAGGCAUAAGGAAGCUUGACUGUGAGACCUACAAGUCGAGCAGGGACGUAAGUCGGUCUUAGUGAUCUGACGGUGCUGAGUGGAAAGGCCGUCACUCAACGGAUAAAAGUUACUCUAGGAUAACAGGCUGAUCUCCCCCAAGAGUUCACAUCGACGGGGAGGUUUGGCACCUUGAUGUCGGCUCAUCGCAUCCUGGGGCGGUAGUACGUCCCAAGGGUUGGGCUGUUCGCCCAUGAAAGCGGUACGCGAGCUGGGUUCAGAACGUCGUGAGACAGUUCGGUCCAUAUCCGGUGUAGGCGUUAGAAUAUUGAGAGGAGCCUUCUUUAGUACGAGAGGACCGAGAAGGACAUACCUCUGGUGUACCAGUUAUCGUGCCAACGGUAAACGCUGGGUAGCUAUGUAUGGAGAGGAUAACCGCUGAAAGCAUCUAAGUGGGAAGCCCACCUCAAGAUGAGUAUUCUCAC
rnacentral:rRNA from 1 species